rnacentral:rRNA from 1 species
UACGAAGGGUGCAAACGUUGCUCGGAAUUACUGGGCGUAAAGCGUGCGCAGGCGGUUGUGCAAGACAGAUGUGAAAUCCCCGGGCUUAACCUGGGAAUUGCAUUUGUGACUGCACGGCUAGAGUGUGUCAGAGGGGGGUAGAAUUCCACGUGUAGCAGUGAAAUGCGUAGAUAUGUGGAGGAAUACCGAUGGCGAAGGCAGCCCCCUGGGAUAACACUGACGCUCAUGCACGAAAGCGUGGGGAGCAAACAGG